rnacentral:rRNA from 1 species
CUAGCCGUAAACGAUGGGCACUAAGUAGAGGGGUUUUGAUUAUCUCUCUGCCGGAGCUAACGCAUUAAGUGCCCCGCCUGGGGAGUACGGCCGCAAGGCUAAAACUCAAAAGAAUUGACGGGGGCUCGCACAAGCGGUGGAGCAUGUGGCUUAAUUCGAUGCAACGCGAAGAACCUUACCGGGGUUUGACAUGGUAGAAGUAGAAGCCUGAAAAGGUGACGAACGGUAUCCAGUCCGUAACUAUCACAGGUGU